rnacentral:rRNA from 1 species
GCGCGCAAAUUACCCAAUCCUGACACGGGGAGGUAGUGACAAUAAAUAACAAUACCGGGCGCGUUAGUGUCUGGUAAUUGGAAUGAGUACAAUCUAAAUCCCUUAACGAGGAUCCUUUGGAGGGCAGGUCUGGUGUCCAG